rnacentral:rRNA from 17 species
GUGCCUAAUACAUGCAAGUAGAACGCUGAAGGAGGAGCUUGUUUCUCUGGAUGAGUUGCGAACGGGUGAGUAACGCGUAGGUAACCUGCCUGGUAGCGGGGGAUAACUAUUGGAAACGAUAGCUAAUACCGCAUAAGAGUAGAUGUUGCAUGACAUUUGCUUAAAAGGUGCAAUUGCAUCACUACCAGAUGGACCUGCGUUGUAUUAGCUAGUUGGUGGGGUAACGGCUCACCAAGGCGACGAUACAUAGCCGACCUGAGAGGGUGAUCGGCC